rnacentral:tRNA from 1 species
ACAUAGCUCAGAUGGUAGAGCACGAGACUGUAGAUCUUGGGGUCCCCGGUUCGAUUCCGGGUG